UACAGAGGUGUCAAACGUUGUCCGGAAUUACUGGGCGUAAAGGGCGCGUAGGCGGCCUCCUCAAGUCAGUUGGGAAAUCUCCGAGCUUAACUCGGAAAGGUCAACUGAUACUGCGGGGCUAGAGUGCGGAAGGGGCAACUGGAAUUCUUGGUGUAGCGGUGAAAUGCGUAGAUAUCAAGAGGAACACCUGCGGCGAAGGCGGGUUGCUGGGCCGACACUGACGCUGAGGCGCGAAAGCUAGGGGAGCGAACGGG
rnacentral:rRNA from 1 species